CAGAAAUUGGUGAAUAGGCAUGAUGAAUGGACACUUCACUUCAUGGUUCAAUCUGGGCCGUCAGAUCAUAAAAAUAGUGCGAUCCAAUGGCUAAGACGAAUCAGACCAAGUGGUGCACCAGUUCCUGAAAUGUCACACACCUGUUCCAUGAGACACUUCAAUCUCUAUAAAUAGGGACCCCCAGAUUCGUUUUUUGACACACCAAAUCAAUUACGAAUUCAAUUGAUUUCUAAAUUCUUCUAUCUCCAUAUUCUGCUCGUAAAAAAUCUCUUAUACUUCCGUCGUUAUUCCGUUCAAGUACGAUCAUUCAUUGGUUCGACCGACAAGGUUGGUAUUGUGCAGUAUCGACUUUGGAAGGAGCGUUGUAUCUUGGGAGACAGACGUCCAUAAUCCCGUUUGCACUUCAUUGGGGGGCGAAAUCUGUCUUAAGGAGAUUUGCUUACUUUAUUGGCAUACCUCGCUUCAUUUACUGUCUAUUUUUCUGCUUAUUUUAUUUCUUCUUUUGAUUGCGUUAGUCGAAUUUCCGACAACAAUCUUAAGACAGAUUUUUUAUUUUUUCAUUUCUUCUACAUUUCUAUUAUUGAUUAUUUUCUGUAAUUGUGGUUUUACAGAAAAUGGCUAGUACAUCAAAUAAUAAUACUAGCGCUGUGAUUGGUACUAUUGAGAGCAAUACUAAUGCGGUGAUUGCGCCAAAUUCAGGUUCCAAUCAAUUUGUCAUGCCGCCGGCUUCACAAUAUGAGAAACCGGAAAAGUUCAAUGGCACGGAUUUCAAACGNGUUGAAAGGUUUUGAAUUCAUCAAAGCUUUGCAUCUCGAUCCCGUGCCAUUUGACAUGGAACGGGAACUGCUCACCCCAACAUUUAAGAUGAAGAGGCCCCAGUUGCUCAAGUACUACCAGGUAGGUUUUCUUUGACGCGUCUGAAGAAGUCAUAAGAUGCUUACAUUCCGCAAUUUGUAUAACAUUAAAGGGUCUGUUUGAUUGUAAAGGUGGAAAAGGCAAACCAGUUCCAUGUAAGUUGGAAAAGAAAAAACAACAAGAACCAUAGGAAUUCGAUUUCCAUGGAAUUGGCCAAAAUUAUGCUUUAAGUGUUUGUACCUUGGAAUUCGAACUUCAUUUUCACUUUCGUAUUAAACAGGCAAAGUAAAAAAAUAAGUUCCUCGAAUGUGAUAUUCUCCAUGGAAUUCAUUUCAAUUGAAUGGACCCUAAGCUCUAUGCAAUUCAAUGAAUGUUGUCUGUGGAUAUAAGUAAAUGAUCUAGGUGGAUGAUUUUGAUUCUCCUGAUGUGUUAUAAAUGAUUAUAGAUCCUGAAGUUGAAUUUGCCUAAUAUUAUAUUUUUAUUGGAAUAUUAAGCCCCCGUUUGACAAUCAUUAUUUCAUAACUCUUUAUUCUACAUACUAAUUUUCAAUCAUAUAUUCGUAUAAUAAAAUACUUUACACGUAUAUCUAAAACCUUUUUGUACUUUUAAACGACACAUUGUCCAAAAUUUCACCAUUCAAAACAUGAUUUUUCCCCAGUAAUGGCCAUGAAACAGGGGCUAAGCUUCCUUUGAAUUUUUCUCAACUAGAUGAUUUAACCAAAUAUACUGCUAUUUCCUGGAUACUCGUUUCUAAAUAUCUUUUCAUAUAAUUGAUUCAUAAUUAAUACGUUUCUUCAUUCUGCAGGGUGUCAUCGACAAUAUGUACAAAAAUGCGAAAUAAGUAGACUGCUUGAAGGUACAUUGUUCUGGGCAAUGAAGGAAAUGAUUCAACAAGUGCUGAUAGUGGCAUUCUUCUAUGGCUUUGGUUUGUACAUAUGACAAUCACUGAAUAAUACUUUAGAUCACAUUUAUAGUUUCUUAGUAAAUAAAUGUUUGAGAUUCUUGUCUCCAAAAUUUGGUUGAAUUCACAGGUCAUUUUGGAAUAGGCCCCAUAUGUGUUUCCGUCUUGACCUAGCAAUCUUUGUCUCCGACUCGCCUUUCUCUAGUAUGUAAUUUAAUAUUUGGAUCCUGGCUUUAUUCCAUUUCCC
rnacentral:lncRNA from 1 species